GAUGAACGCUGGCGGCGUGCCUAAUACAUGCAAGUCGAGCGAACAGACGCGGCGCUUGCUCCUCUGACGUUAGCGGCGGACGGGUGAGUAACACGUGGAUAACCUACCUAUAAGACUGGGAUAACUUCGGGAACCCGGAGCUAAUACCGGAUAAUAUAUUUAACCGCAUGGAUCAAUAGUGAAAGACGGUUUUGCUGUCACUUAUAGAUGGUUCCGCGCCGCAUUAGCUAGUUGGUUAGGUAACGGCUUACCAAGGCAACGAUGCGUAGCCGACCUGAGAGGGUGAUCGGCCACACUGGAGCUAGGACACUGACCAGACUCCUACGGGAGGCAGCAGUAGGGAAUCUUCCGCGAUGGGCGAGAGCCUGACGGAGCGACGCCGCGUGAGUGAUGAAGGUCUUCGGAUCGUAAAACUCUGGUAUUAGGGAAGAACAAAUGUGUAAGUAACGAUGCACGUCUUGACGGUACCUAAUCAGAAAGCCACGGCUAACUACGUG
rnacentral:rRNA from 1 species